CUCCCCCACCCCAGGCUGCACAGACCAGUUCGAGAACUUGCCUCUAGAUACCCAUGAUAUUUAAGAUUCUCAAAAUCUCCCUUUCUCUAAAAAUCUUCCUUUCUCUAAUACAGACACACACAUCAAUACUCAAACCUAAGACAGUCAGGGUGGCAUUAGCUGAAAUGGAGCCUGCGGAGUUCUGGGCAGUGCAGCUGUAAACCCCCAUGUCAUCUAUUUUCACAUCGGUGAUGAAAAACACGUCGUCAUCUGGCAUGACGUGCAUGCGUCGCUCCCGAGCAGCAGGGAAGUCUGUGCCUCCAUCCUUCUGCCAGGCAAUCUGGGGGUUAGGGUGGCCAAUGGCAGCACAUUCGAGGCGGGCCAUGGUGCCAGUCCGGAUCGCAAUGUCGUGGGGCAUUUUGGUGAAUGAUGGCAACACUACAAAACACAUACAAGCAAGGUCAGUUAUCGGAAAAGUAAUUGUGAAAACCAGGAAAAUCCUCUAGUGUACAGACCCGCCGCCACCACUGUGCCUGGGUGUCUGUUUACCAGUUCUCCACCUUUCAUGCCAAGGUCUUUGCCUAUGGAAGGUACUGCCACCAAGAACACCUGCCCUUUUGAUCAAGGGCAACAGGAUUCCAGGGCUGCUCAGCUCUCUCCCCACCACAGCUGGAGCAUCCUCAGCAGUCUCCUGCACCCAAGGCUGGCCAUCACCUCCUCCAGCGUCAAGGCUCAUUGUGGAACAUGGCCUCAACUACACCUCAGAAAAUAAAUGGUUUAUGUGUGGCUUCCCCAUAAAUGCUCAGGCCGCUUGUUCACCUGCCUUCAUCAUCAGGAGAAAGCCUGGGGAAAAAAACUAUCUGCUCCAACAGGAUGGAAGGAGAAAGGGAAGGAUGACAUGCCUUCUCCCUGGGGAAAGCAAUGGGAUGGCUCUACCCUCUUGCCAAAAACCAUCUUGGAGAGGUGGCGUCAGGGUCCUACUACUGUUCACAGAAAGCAUUCCUCUAACUAGCUUAUUUAUCCCAAAUAUUCCCUGACAAAAUGUAAGCAUCCAGCCACCCAUCAGGCAUCAGUAUAGUUUCCAUCAAGGUCACUUCAGUGGAGUGUCUAACAGGAAGCAGGAAGCUGAGUUUUCAAGAAACAAGUACUCCCUAAGAAUAAGCCAAGACAACCCAGCCAAUGUGGUAAACAGUGUGUUUUCCUGUGGUCUGUAGGGGCCUAACGAGCACAACAGUUCCAGCACUUCUGUUUAUCUUCAAGCCAAUGUUUUAAAUGGAGGUAAUAAUCAGAAAUAUCUCAUUAGCUUGCUGGGUGGGUGUGGCCCUCACACAUGACCCCAAUCAAACUACAGCACAUAGCAGUCCUACAGCUCUGAAGGUGGUUCAGUAAAAGACCCUUGUCAAACUCCCCCUGGGCCAGUCCUCCUGCCAGGCCAGGCACUCACAUUAGCCUCAAGAGAGAAGGGGAUGGGCUGCUCUCGCCUCUGAUACAAAAUAUCCACUGGGAAUCACCUUUCAAUCUGCAAAACUUGCUGUGGGGCAAACCCAGGGACCAGUAGAAUAUAAUAAUCCUGUCCCAGCGCAGCUUGUUUUCUCCUGUUGCAAUCAUCCUUAUUGGAGUAACUGAAUAAGCAAUCCUGAGUGUGGCUUUAGAGGAUUCUUCUACUGGGAUAAUGAAAACACACAGACUGCCAUACCAUUCACAGUGAGCCUGGCCUUGUGCGAGUAGGUGGAGCCGAAGUGGUUGGUGAUGAUGCAUUGGUAGCGGCCCUCAUGCCCAAAAGUGACGUGACGGAGAUGCAAAAUGGUGGUGUACUCCAUCACCUCUCCAUCCUGAGCACGGACGUGGGCGAAGUUCUCCAUGUCAGCAUUGGCCAAGACUUCAUUGUCCUUCUUCCAGGCAAAAGUCAUAGGGGAGCUGCUGCUGCUGGCCGCCGAACACGUGAACCGGAUGUCCUUGCCCACCACAGCCAUGGUGGUCUCUGGCUGGGUGAUGAUCUGGGGCUUUGGGAAGUCAUCUGGGAGAAGAAGGGCCAACUGUAAGUCACCCGGGGUCUUAGUACACACAGGAACCAGCUGCUGUUCCCACUAACAAGAGGGUCAGAAAGGGAGUAGGUGACACAAGGACACCACGACAUUCAGUGCCCCUGUGCACCCCUCAGCCUCACCAGACACUGUAAGGAAAGCUGCAUCACGGAUAUCUGGCCUUAUCCAAUUAUAAGCCCAUGAUUAGCAGUCCCCUCUCUGAUCACUGUUCUUAAUUACAAAUGUAUGGGUACUAAAUUAUCAAACAUACAGACAUUUCCUUAAGAAGACUACAACGAGCAUUUACCUGCUUGCUUCUACACAAAAUGCACUUAUCUAAAGAGUUCGGCAUGUACUAGACAUGCCUGCAUAAACCUUAUCCACAAACCUUACAAAAAGUGGGUAUAAAACAUUUCUAAGAUGGCAGAAUAAGGACCUCCAAAAUUCUGCAUCUCCAUAAGAACAAUGAAAACCCUGGCCAAAAAAAAAUGGUCAAAAUCAACUUUUUCAUAAUUCUAGAAAAUAACAAAAGGCUUACAACAAUCCAUGGAGUGUUUAUUCCAGAAAACCAGCUGAAACUCAGUAAGAAAGGUAAGCUCUGUGGCCUUUUAAUUUGUCUUAUUCCCAUCUCUCUUUCUGCAGCUCAACUGUAACCUGGAAAACCAACAGUAACCACUGAAGGGAGCAAGAUGGGUUUGGAGCUCCCCAAAAGCCUCAUCCCUGGAGACUUGUCACUAUGUCAUUUAAAUUCUCACCUGUGGCUGAUCUUAAGGCUCUGCCCAAGCACGAAGGGAUGGCAUGCCCCAACAUACACCAUGGCAAAAGCAACUGAGGAUAAGCUUUUUAAACAGAAAUCGGAAUCGCCAUCUCAGUGAACAUUCUUUCCUGAGGAGUCACUCAAAGAUAGGUCAAGCCGAGAGUCUAGCUGCCCUGUUCCUGGAAGAAUUCAAGGCUGUGAGCUGCAGGAUGAUGCCCACCCCGUGACGAGGAACAAGUCCGAGAAUGAAACAUACAGGCCUCCCUGGAAUAAACUGUCUGGAGUACAUGCUAACAAAAACGGGGAGCAAGUAUACUUAAAAAUUCCAAAAAUGUCAUGUGGGAACAGCCUCCUUCUCCACCCACCAUUUUCCUCAGACAUCAACAAGGCAACCAAAUGGACUGCUUUUUUGUUUUCUUCUUUUUCACUCUGACUUCCUAAUGUGCAAAGAAACCAUCAAACUAGGAAAUGGCAAGGAAGAAUAAAAUUUAAGCCAGAUAA